GCACUCCACUCUGGUCGUUUCGGUUGAGCUCGCAAAUCAAGCCGCAAAUCUAACAUCUUUUGUGAUGAAUAAAAUAAGCUGUAGAAAGAUUGAUCAAACUAACCCCAUAUCACAGUAGCAAAGCAAUCUACACCAGACCGGGAACAGCAGCCAGCCAGAUUUCCAGUCCGGAGAGCACUCUGCACAGUGGAUCUUGAUUGUUUCGAUUGAAAAGCUACCCAACGUUAUUGCAUCGGAACGCCAUCAUCAAGAGCCAGAAGUCAACCGAUAGAACGAACAUAAAUUAAACUGAAUUACUGUGCAGAGUAAAAACAUACACACGAGCAGACAGACAGAAGAACCCACAAAGCUAAUUACAAGCCCCGAAAUGGGCCCACGGUCUGAUCCAGUACACAAAGAACCACUAACUAAUGGAACGAGCUGGAGAACAUACAUGAUGUAAUGGAAAAGCCCAAAAUGAAUUGAACACUUCUUUCCUGUUUACGAACCUUGUAAACCAUUUUAUUUUUAAUUUAC